AAUAAGAUGCCUGAAAAAGGAUUAUUUUGAUAGAAUAAAUUAUACAUAAUUUUAUGUUCUUAUUA
rnacentral:tRNA from 1 species